rnacentral:lncRNA from 1 species
CUGGGGGUCCCCCUUUGUUAUAAGCGUAGAAUGAAGUGGAAAUCAUCUUUAAAGUAGAGCCCUAUUCUCCGAUCGUAGAGGCCUGCACAAAUUUGAAGAGAGGUGUAAGUAUACGUCUAAAAGGUGAAAUUUGUUGAUUUACGCACUAUAUUGUUUAAUUCUAGUACUGACAUACAGUUUAGGAGCACGUAAUUAACGUAAAAUGCGCCUAAAUUUACAGUCAAAUUAAUAUAACUUUCGAUAUCCAUAAAUUUUGAAAGUUUGAAACCAUUAUACUCAAAUAUUAUAUAUAGGCCACACAAAGGCUGUCUUAUACGCCGGGCAUGCAAGUAGCAGUAAUUUCCAAAUGUUUGUUUUUCAACUCGUGCUCGUGGCAAGGUCCUCGGUAGAAAAAAGCCUUAUUCAAAACGAAUACAUAUGAUAGCGCGCAAAUUACAAAAAAACAUUAUACAAUAAUUUAUAGCAGAACUGGAUUAAUUCGUCAAAGCCCAUGUUCUGGGGCCAGAAAGCAACUCUAGCUGCAUGUUAUUAUAAACGGUCUUACUUUAGAUAUCAAUUUGCGUGAAAUAAUUAAUUUAAUUUAAAGUGUUUAUGAAACGGCUGAAAAAUUUUUCUGAAAUUGUGCUGAUUUUAUAGUUUAAAGUACGCUGAAUAUCAUGCUGUAUUUUAUUUUCGCCCCGCGAUUUUUUAAAGUGGAUUUUUUAAGCUACAAAGUUCAGCAAUUCGGC